rnacentral:rRNA from 1 species
CCUACGGGUGGCAGCAGUCGAGAAUCAUUCACAAUGGGGGAAACCCUGAUGGUGCGACGCCGCGUGGGGGAAUGAAGGUCUUCGGAUUGUAAACCCCUGUCAUGUGGGAGCAAAUCAAAAAGAUAGUACCACAAGAGGACGAGACGGCUAACUCUGUGACAGCAGCCGCGGUAAUACAGAGGGCUCAAGCGUUGUUCGGAAUCACUGGGCGUAAAGCGUGCGUAGGCUGUUUCGUAAGUCGUGGGUGAAAGGCGCGGGCCCAACCCGCGGAGGGCACAUGAUACUGCGAGACUAGAGUAAUGGAGGGGGAACCGGAAUGCUCGGUGUAGCAGUGAAAUGCGUAGAUAUCGCGAGGAACACUCGUGGCGAAGGCGGGUUCCUGGACAUUAACUGACGCUGAGGCACGAAGGCCAGGGGAGCGAAAGGGAUUAGAUACCCCUGUAGUC